rnacentral:misc_RNA from 1 species
AACGCACCUUGCGCUCCUUGGUAUUCCGAGGAGCAUGCCUGUUUGAGUGUCAUUAAUAUAUAUAUAUCAAACUUCUCUUGUUGAGUGGUUUGGAUGUGGGGGUUUUUGCUGGGCCUCUUUUUUAAGGGUUCAGCUCCCCUGAAAUGCAUUAGCAGAACAACCCUGUUCAUUGGUGUGAUAACUAUCUACGCUAUUGAAUGUGAGGGGCAGUUCAGCUUUCUAACAGUCCUUGGACAAAUUCAUCAUUAAUGUGACCUCAAAUCAGGUAGGACUACCCGCUGAACUUAA